UAAGGCCCCUAAAUGACCGCUCAGUGAUAAAGGAGGUGGGGGUGCAAAGACAACCAGGAGGUUUGCCUAGAAGCAGCCACCCUUUAAAGAGUGCGUAAUAGCUCACUAAUCGAGCGCCCUUGCGCUAAAGAUGAACGGGGCUAAGCGAUCUGCCGCA
rnacentral:rRNA from 9 species